GAUGAACGUUGGCGUCGUGCCUAAUACAUGCAAGUCAAGCGAACAGACGAGGAGCUUGCUCCUCUGACGUUAGUGGCGGACGGGUGAGUAACAUGUGGAUAACCGACCUAUUAGACUGGGAUAACUUCGGGAAACUGGAGCUGAUACCGGAUACUAUACUGAACCGCAUGGUUCAAUAGUGAAAGACGGUUUUGCUGUGCCUUAUAGAUUGAUCCGCGCCGCAUUGGCUAGUUGGUAAGGUAACGGCCUACCAAGGCAACGAUGCGUAGCCGACCUGAGAGGGUGAUCCGCCACACUGGAACUGAGACACGGUCCAGAAUCCUACGUGAGGCAGCAGUAGGGAAUCUUCCGCAAUGGGCGAAAGCUUGACGGAGCAACGCCGCGUGAGUGAUGAAGGUCUUCGGAUCGUAAAACUCUGUUAUUAGGGAAGAACAAAUGUGUAAGUAACUAUGCACGUCUUGACGGUACCUAAUCAGAAAGCCACGGCUAACUACGUG
rnacentral:rRNA from 1 species